AAAAACAAAGCAAGUAGGAAAUACAGGGUAAGCGUGAGGGGCUGCAUUGCAAAGGUUGGUGACCUACCGUGAUGAACUGAAAAAGAUUCAAAGUAGCGGUUUGAGCAAUGUGUAUAGACAGUAACCCGGUAAAAUGUACUGAAAAUAGGGAUAAGAGUUGAACAGGUGCAAAGUGAAUAAGUAAAUUAUGAAAGUUCAGGGUUGACCAACAACCACACCAAGAUUAUUAACUUAUCAAAUGAACAGGUAUUAAACGAGAUGACACAGUACUUUGUUUUU
ncrna:unclassified sequences RAGATH-8 RNA